UACGUAGGGGGCAAGCGUUGUCCGGAAUUAUUGGGCGUAAAGCGCGCGCAGGCGGUUCUUUAAGUCUGGUGUCUAAGUGCGGGGCUCAACCCCGUGAUGCACUGGAAACUGGGGAACUUGAGUGCAGAAGAGGAGAGCGGAAUUCCACGUGUAAGCUGGUGAAAUGCGUAGAGAUGUGGAGGAACACCAGUGGCGAAGGCGGCUCUCUGGACCGACACUGGACGCUGAGGCGCGAAAGCGUGGGGAGCAAACAAGA
rnacentral:rRNA from 1 species